rnacentral:lncRNA from 10 species
AGUAACAGAGCUUCUUAGAGGCUGCCAGGAAGGAAGGAAGAAGGAACGAGGGAAAAUGCUACAUUGGGACUCCGAGCAGCUUAUCCCGGGACUUUCUGAGAGCAGCUGUACACACCCGUUGUGGCAGAGGCAGAAUAAGCUUUCUUCUCCUUUUGCAUAGAGAUAAUAUUUCCAGCCACUCUUGCAAUUAGGGAUGGCUAUGUGAGUUCUACCAAUGGAAUAUCACUGCAGAUGAGCACAGAAACACUGUUGAAAAUGCAGAGCCUUGACACGGAAGGAAUCUGGAUUCCUGGAUCACACAGUGGAAGGCUCAUCUGCUGACCAGAAACACUUGCAUUGGACUGAUGAGCAGUACAUAGAUGUCUCUGCUGUUAAGCUUUUGAGAUUAUGGGCUUUAUCUAUUAUAACAGCUAGUGUUACCCUAACUUACACACUAACAUACUGUAUGGGUCAUGAUUCUUGGCUAUGAGCUCAGGCAGAUAGUGGGUGAAUGAACCAGAAAGAUCCAGUUUUUGUGACCAGUUACAAAAUGC